UAACACGUAGGAGGCUAACGUUAUCCGGAUUUACUGGGCGUAAAGCGCGUGCAGGCUGUUCGGUAAGUUGGGCGUGAAAGCUCCCGGCUCAACUGGGAGACGUCGUUCAAUACUGUCGGACUAGAGGAUGGUAGAGGGAGGUGGAAUUCCGGGUGUAGUGGUGAAAUGCGCAGAUAUCCGGAGGAACACCAGUGGCGAAAGCGGCCUCCUGGACCAUUCCUGACGCUCAGACGCGAAAGCUAGGGUAGCGAACGGG
rnacentral:rRNA from 1 species